GACGAACGCUGGCGGCGUGCCUAAUACAUGCAAGUCGAACGCAGUGGGGACGGGUGCGUGACACGUGGGUAACCUUCCAUCAGAGGGGAAAACACUUGGAAGCAGGUGCUAAACCGAUACUGAUGGAUGGCCCCGCGGUGCAUUAGCCAGGGGGUGAGGUAACGGCUCACCAAGGCCACGAUGUAUAGCCGACCUGGGAGGGUGAUCGGCCAAACUGUGACUGAGAAGCGGCCCUGACUCCUACGUGAGGCAGUAGUAGGGAAUCUUCGGCAAUGGACGAAAGUCUGACCGAGAAAGGCCGCGUGAGUGAAGAAGGUUUUCGGAUCGUAAAACUCUGUUGUUAGAGAAGCGGUAUCUAACCAGAAAGCCACGGCUAACUACGAUCCAGCAGCCGCGGUAAUAC
rnacentral:rRNA from 1 species